rnacentral:lncRNA from 1 species
UGGGAGCUGGGAAGCUGGAAUUGCCCUCAGAGGGGUCUCCAACUGGGGCAAGGGGCCAGGCCUUCAGACCACCGCAUAGAUUAGCCAUUGGCUGGAGCGUUCCCAGGCGGAGGCAUACACUCGGGGAAGGGCAAAAGGCGUCCCAAGACAGCCUGGCUGUGAGCCAUCAGCAGCGACUCCGAGCCCCUCGGCCCUUCGGGGCCCCAGGCUGGGCACCACACCAUCCAUCACAGUCCCCACAUCCCUCAAACAGCAGUGGGGCCUGGGUGCCAGCAGCUCCUCCAUGUCCUGGCGGGUCUCUUUACCCGGGAAACCCAGAGCAGAGGGUUCAGUGGGACUAGCUGCAGAUUCCCACUCCAGAUCCCUCCACCCGUGGACAGCAGCUCCGUGAGAGAGGCGGCUCCCGGGGGGAGUUAGAGGCUGCCCUCGUCAUGCCGUUCAUGCACUGACGCUCCCACCGUGCCAGGACAUGCCCCAUGCUCCCUCCUUUCCGCCUUCUGCCUCCUCCAGGCCCUGCCAGUGUGGGGCUUUCUCCCCGGCCUGCUGGCCUCUUAGCUCAGAAGCCAGAUGUGACCUGGUGGCAGCUACCCAUGAAGUUGAAUGAGACCUGUGCUGUGUCUCCCACGGAAGCACGACUCCUCCAGAGCCAGGACUUUACAAUCUAAAAAGCUCAGAGUCGUGGGGAGAAGAUGUACCCGUCACCAAACCAAUGCUGUGGAUGGGGAUAAGAGGAGCCUCUCCUACCUCCACACCUUGGCUCCAUGGGUCGCCCACGGGGCACAGCAUUGCUAGAAGCCCUGGCUCAGAGUGCGCUCUGCGUCCAGGCGGGCUGCCAGAAACCUUCAGUGAGCUGGUCUGCGACACUCAGGCCCUCCACCGGCAUAUGGGACAGCAGCACCCAUGCUGCUGCAGCCUGGAAGAGAUGUAUCUGGGAGAAGCGUUCACCAGCUGAUGGGUGUUAGCGGGGACGCGUGACCCUCCUGCACUGUUCUAUGGGGGAUGGAGCCGAGGAAUGACCUUCUCUAGGGAAAGGCUCCUUCUGGCCCGGGAACAGAGGUCCCCUCGGGGCUCUGCUGGCCCCUUUGCAGAUGUCAGCACGUUGUGUCUUAAGGUGCUCAUGUCUGCUGUCCACCUGCUUCGCGUGGCAGGUGUGUCUUAAUCAAGUUUGAAAGGUCUGUAGAUGCUAUCUUCAGGUCUAGACUAAGCUGCUCUUCAGACGGCUCUCGGUUGACAUAUCGGUCCCUCCCUGGGUGGCAUUAGCCUGUCAUCAGGCACGCCUCCUUCCCAUCGAGCCUGACCCCCAAUCCCAUCGUCACAAGGGCGGGCUCCCUGACUCUGGAUGGGGGCUGAAUCACCUGCUUCCCCGCUCCCUCCCCAGCACUCCGGCAGCAUCCUGACUCUGACAGUGACACUGCCUUUGUCAUGACCCCUCAAAGGCAGCCAUGCCCUGGGUCCCCUCUGGUGAGAAUAAAUUGCAACCCUGGCCCAGCUUCACUGUGCACGCAGGCAGGUGACCCAGCCGAGCUCUGCACCCACGUGCUCUGUGAGGAAGCUCACCAAGGAUCCAAACCCUGGAAUUUGAGAGGCAGGGCUUGCAUGGAUGAGGAUGCACAGAGAUCACAGGUUCCAUGGCUGUCUGCCCAUCUCUUUCCACACCCAGACUGGCUCCAACUGACAGAGCUCAGUGGAUUCAGCAAGGCCCUCUCUGCACCUGAGUGGCUGAACUUCCUCAGGUGGUGGUACUUAACAGCAUCAUUAGCUAGGAAUGUGGCUGAAGGGGAAGGAAACACUAAUUGGCUUCCUGGGAGCCUCGUCCCUGAGAACAGCCCCUGUGCCAUGGAAGUUUCUAUUCAUGUGACCGAGUAAAGGCAGAGAAAACCAAGCUGGGGCAUUUUUCAAUUUUGCUUUGUUAUUUCAAAGUAAUGGCAGCCUGGGCAACAUGGUGACACCUCAUCCUUAUGAAUUUUUGGUUUUAAUUUUCAAAAAAUUAGCCAGGCAUGGUGGUGUGCCCCUGGAGUGCCAGAUGCUCAGGAGGCUGAGGCAGGAGGAUUGCUUGAGCCUGGGAGGAUGAGGCUGCAGUGAGCUAUGAUCGUGCCACUGUGCUCGAGCUGCACUCCAGCCUGGGUGACAGAGCAAGACCCUGUCUCUAAAUAAAUAAAUAAGCAAAUAUGUACAUGCAUGAAAGUAAUAGCUAUUGCCUUUUUAUCAUUUGGAAAGAUCUCAUAUUCUUUCACAAAGAAAAACAGAAAAUUUAAAUAAGCCAAAAGGACAAUAUUUGCCCUCCAGCAAAUCUACUUGUCCAUUAACUGUCCUUGUCAGCACCCUGACCUGGGAUCAUGGAUGGCACUGUCUGAAGGAGGAUCAGCGCUAAAAUGCUGCCCAGCGCUCAGCCCCAUUUCAGGUGCUGCCAGACUGGCCUUUGGUGGAGCCCCCGCCGUGGGAACCAAGCAUGUGUAGUAAUCACUCCCCGCAGCACCGGCAAAGUUCUUCAGCCAGGCUGACAUUAAAGUACGCAAUUCUAACCUAAACGAUCACUUUUCUCAUUUUAACACGUUCUUACUGUGUUACAACAUCUUCCUCAGUCUUCAGAAAAGUGUUGACAUUUUACUCCGCAUGUCUGUAUCAGUCCCGCAGUUCUGCCGUAACAAAUUACCACGAAAUAUGUGGCUUCUGCCACAUUGUAAAGGCGGGAAGUUCAAAAUCAAGGCAUCAGUAGGGCCACGCUCCCUCCAAAGGCUCGAGGGAAGACUGUUUCCUUUCGUCUUCCAGCUUCUGGUGGCUCUGGCGUUUCUGCGCUUGACCUGUGGCUGUGCUGUGAAUGUCGCUGUCCCCACAGUGUUCCUAGGUUGGAACCUCGUCCCCAUUGUGUUGGUAUUAAGACGUGGGGCCUUGGGAGGAGAUUGGUUCCACCGUCAUGAAUGGGGUUAGUGCCCUUUAUUAAAAAGGCCUCAGAGCUUCUACCUCCUCCACCAUGUGAGGACUCNNNNNNNNNNAGGCUCCUGGGUGGAAAGGGGCAGGUUCCCACUGAAGCCCCACCUUCAAGUCAGAGAAGGCCUGAAGCCUGGGGGCCAGGCUGCCCAUCCCAUGGACCAGAGUGGGAACUUGUGGUGUUUUUUCUGGUCCCGCUCAUGGCCACCCAUGGACCAGUCGGCAUGCACUUCCUCCCCUCUGAAGCCCAUAAAAACCUCAGACUCAGCCAGACUUGAAGAGAUGACUGGAUGACCAGCUGCGGAGACGAGCUACUCACCCCAGGGUCUCCUCUCUGCUGAGAGCUGAACACUAGUUGGGACACCUUGGCUGCAAACAGGAGCUGCCCACUGCGGGCCUCCUCUGAGAUGUUCUGUCACUCAAUAAAACUCCUCUUCACCUUCCUCACCCUCCACUUGUCCACGUACCUCAUUCCUCCUGGGCAACAAGAACUUGAGACCCGCCGAAUGGCAAGGCUGAAAGAGCCGUAACACAAGAGUCU